rnacentral:tRNA from 1 species
GGAGAGAUGGGUGAGUGGCUGAAACCAACAGUUUGCUAAACUGUCGUAGGGGUACAAUUCCCUACCGGGGGUUCGAAUCCCCCUCUCUCCG